rfam:Schistosoma margrebowiei strain Zambia genome assembly, scaffold: SMRZ_scaffold0000579
GCACUGCUGAGGAGUCCCAUACUAGGACGAACCGGCCGUCCAGUGC